AAGAAAGGAAUUAAGAAAAAUGGAAAAUGGAAAGGUUUGUAUUUAUCCCUCAAAAACUAGAACCUACGAGAUUCUUCUCUUGGCACACACUUUUACACCUCAUACACACACUCACCGUGAUACAUAUAUUGAUACACACACACACCCUAUGGGGGAGAUACGCAGUCCCUCCGCCGGCAGCAUUGCGCCUCCGGCAACCUUUGUUCUUUGUUGAAAGUGGCACCCUCUCCUCGUCUCCCUCUCUGUCUCGAUCUUUCUCUUGCUACUCACAAACAUAUGGUACUUUUUGUGGCUGAUCGACUAUUUCUAGCCGUCAUUACUUGAUUUCAGCGACAAUAGAUUAGCUUUGUCUCCCAUUUGUGUAAGUAAUGUUCCUAUUUUGUGUAUUCUUUGAAUUUUAUAUGUGACUGAAAGUUAGGGCUUCUUUUUGAAAUUUAUCCCCAAAUUAUUGGUUUAGCAAAUUGGGUGAAAUUUUAGUAUAUUAAUGGACAUUUCUGUUCUUACUUAUGAUUGGGGAGUUGAGUUGGACGAUAACUAUGAAUCUUGUUAUUUAAAUGAAGUGUUAGCUUAGAGUUCUUCCAUAUAAUUUAUGGAAAUUGUAUUGCUACUUUGGAUUGACUUUAGAAUAUCUAAAUCUAUAUGUGGGAGAAAAGUAUUUUUGGUAGGGAAAAGUUGGGACAAUCCAUUGACUAGUGAGAAUAUCGAUGAUUUUUACAUAUUGUUGUUUAAAGAUGCUCAAAUGAGUUCUGUUAUGCAUUCAUGGGAAUAUUUGCUACAUGAUUAACUAAAGAUCAAUGAAGAAGAGUUGAUACUUGAGGCUAGGUUGUUUAACUGAUUCUGGAACUCAAGAUUUUAGAGCAAUGAUAGAAUUUUAUAGAAGUUGAGAAUGAUAUAAAAGGAUAACAUAUUUUAUAUUUAAAUUAGUUUGGAUUGAUGUUAGUAUAUGUAAUAAAUAUGUGCUAAAAAGGUAAUCUUUACCGAGAUAUAAUACGGGCAACGAGCAGAAGUAGGAUUAAGGUGAUUCUGGUUUCAAGGUGUUUUGGAAUUUGAGAUUAAGUGAUCAAAGUAGCUCUUUUGUUGUACAUUUUCCCAAGUUGGGUCGCUUGCCAACCUUUUGUGUUUGGGUAAUUCUUUUGUUAUGCUAGUUGUGGCAUGCACAAGAAGUGUAAUAUAGUUGGAACAUUUAGUUACCGCGUGCACCUUUGUUGAAUAUGUAUAUUUGUAAAUUGUUAUCCUAGUUCCAUAAAUAUGUAUAUUUGUAAAUUGUUAUCCCAGUUCCAUAAAUAUAUAUAUAUAGACUUUUAGAGCAGUUUUCUUUUCGAUUACCAAGUAAUGAAAAACAAUUCAUCUAUAUAUAAAUUAAGAAUCAAGGAUUUUCUGUUAAUUCAAUACUUGUACCAAAAUGUGACAUCACUUGCAUGAUUAUUAAAUUAAUCCGGUAAGGGGUGUUACACCUAUCUCAACUUGAUAUUUCUCUUGAAAUUUUUCUGGAAAGAUCUGUUGUAGGGAGUAUUAUUUAACAUAAAUGUAAUUGUCUUUUUGAAUCUUGAUGAUACAAGAAAUGUUAUUUCAAAAAAAAAAGCUAAAAGUAAUAAAUAAAUUUCAAUACAUACCAUUUGUGAUUGUUCAUCGGAUGAAAUUAUCGUAGUAAAUCUUGCAAUGUUAUCUUCUGAGUAUCUCUCCUCUGGUUGCAUAGACAUUUUUUAACCACUUGAACGUUUGAGAUUUACAAAGAGAAUAUGGAAGAUGGAAAUGGUUUUAGAUGUGAGAGAAUAUUUACAGGAGUAAUUGUGAAAGAUGGAAAUGGUUGUUGUCUUUAUUGAAUGUUAGGUGAGAAGUAUUUUAAUAUAUUGUACUCCACAUACGUAUUCUCUUUCUAUUGACAAUUUAGUAAUUAAAUAAUAUUAUAAUUAGAUGAAUAUGUAAUUUGCUAAUACGAUAAUUAGAUGAAUACGUAACUAAUUAAUACUAUUAUAAAUAGAUGAAAAGUUAUUAACUAUUACUUGUGCAUCGUUCAAGUAUAGUGUUGCAUUUGAUGUUGUUGUGAUUUUUGUUUUCUAUGUUUUGCCGAAUUUAUCUCCUAAUUUGCAUGUUGUUUUAUAAUUUUUCGCAAUAAUUUUUGAGGGUUUGUUGGAAAGAUUCGUUUAUCAAUUAACAUAGAAAAAAUUGUAGUUUGUGUUUGCAAAUUAUAUAAUAAUAUGAUUUUAUAUUUUUAAUAUUAUAACUGGUAGUAUUAAUAUGAAGUACAGCAUGUAUAAAUAUAAAUUAUUGUACAAAAUCAUAUGAAUAUCGCGUGUUUUUCUAUUGACAUUGUUGGUAUGAUAUAUUUUUAAUAUUUCUAUAUAUAUUUUGUUUUAGAGUACUGAAGAUUGUGAAUAAUUUAAGGUUUAUAUUAAUUUUCUUAGAAAUAAAUAUUUGUCAUUAUUAUAAAGAGUGAAUGUUGUAUUUGUAGAGGGAUUUUGUUUUUCUUACUGAUUUAUAAGAAAAUAUCUAUUCAUAAAUAUUGUAUUCUCAAAUAUUGUACUCCCUUUGUUUCGAAUAAUUUAGUACCAAAUUAUGAAUACAUAUUUGGACGUUGUAUACAAAAGAUUUGGCACGGAAUGUCCUCAGCAGCGCAACGCGCUGGGGAUUUACCAGUGUAUUGAAUAGCUUGGGCUAAGACUCAACCCUAUUUGCAUCAAUGUAAACAUGAAAUUCAAUUAGUCCACCUAUUUAUAAUACUAAUGGGCCAGCCAAGCGGGCCCAAAUGAAAUGAGCGAGUGAUAAGAUCCAAAAUUAAAUACGACGAUUAUUUUGCCCCAAUUCCAUAUAUUUUAAAUCUAUCUCCAUUUGAAGGAUUAAUAAGAAUUGCUGAACUCCGACUGCAAUUCAAGUAUGAGAAUCUAUUGCCCCUCGAUGUAAAUUAAAUCAUUCUUUUCGUGAUGAUCCUGAAUUAUUGAUUGGUGGAUAAUUUGAUAUGCUACGAUAUUAUUGAUGAAAUAUGUUGGAGCACUACUUUUAAUAUGAGUUAGAUGUUAUAUAGACUAAGAAUUUAGUUUUUCAUGGAUCACUUGUGUCGCAUUAUGCUACGGUUGCACAAUAGAGCCUGGAUGAGAUUGGUCUGAUAGUCACAAUUAGCGGUUGGUAUCAUGGCUUAAAUGGCGUUUGGUUUGGCAGUUUUAUUUUUUGUAUGGCCCGUGCAAUGGGCCCCGGCCCAAGCUUUGGAGGCUGCAAUGGCUAGUUAACUUAUCGAAAGAGAUUCAACCAAACUUUUUACAAUUUGAGAUUUACAACCUGCAUCGACCCCCUUCUCCUUCAAUCCCAAUUCGACCACAUAUUCGUCGCCGAUCCAUCGGCGAACACAGCGGCCCUGGCCCAUCCGCCACCAGAACCACCGAUCGCCGCUCAAGUCGGCAUAUUCGGAGACCCAGCGUGCCUGCAAGUAGGUGUGUUGAAGACGAAGGGCAUGACAGCGGCGCUCGCGGGUAAUUCGGGUGUGUUGUUCAUGGUUUUGCGGCGUCGGAUGAGGCGGAGAGAUAGUGGAGGAAGAUGGGGGAGGAUGGGGCCCAUUUUCUUAUCAAUUUUGCCAUAGGAUUUCUGGAAGUCAAAGCCCUUAGGAUUUGGAUAAAUUUCUCAUUCUAAACAAAACAGAUGUUGUGUUGUUGUGGUGUGAGAUGGGUGCACAAAAGAAAGUGCGCGGCGGCUAUGCAUGAAAUUUUUUGGAGAUGUGCUUACCCAAUUAGAAUUCUUGAGGGACAAAGUUGGAAAUAAGAAAAUGAAUGAGGAUAUUGAGGAAUUUGUGGGCAGCAACUGAUGUUCCUUUACUGGCAAACCAAACGUUUAAGUUAAAAUCGUUAACCGCAGAAAAGGAACUUUCUAUGAGACUCCAAACAUUUUCUAAUGAAACGAUAACCGACAAACCAAACGAGCCCAAGUUAAAGCUAGUUAAACUCAGGCAUGUUGCUCAUACAACAGUGACAGGGCUGUGAUAUAUGAUUCCAAUUGUGCGGCAUCGGGAGGGAUAUUGUUUGAUACAGCUGGGGAGUAGAUGUUGGGUUACACAUUGCGGUGUAGACUGAAUUAUGAGCAAUAUAUGAUGGACUUACGUUGGCGUAAGAACGUGUGUUUGGAAAUAUUAUUGUGAAAAGCGAUAAUAUGACAGUUGAAUUAGUGAUAUGUAUAAUUUAUGAGCAUAUGUGCUUAGUGUAUGAGCUAUACUAGAACAGGGCAAUGCCCUCUCCUUGUAAAGAUGAUAAUAUGACAAUUGAUUUAGUGACUAUAUGCUCAGUUUAUAUUAGAAUUAUAGGACAUUACAAUGUUGAA